CCUACGGGAGGCAGCAGUGGGGAAUAUUGCACAAUGGGGGAAACCCUGAUGCAGCAACGCCGCGUGAGUGAGGAAGUAUUUCGGUAUGUAAAGCUCUAUCAGCAGGGAAUAGAAAAGAAGGUACCUGAAAAAGAAGCCUCGGCUAACUACGUGCCAGCAGCCGCGGUAAUACGUAUGGUGCAAGCGUUAUCCGGAUUUACUGGGUGUAAAGGGAGCGCAGGCGGCACGGCAAGCCUGAUGUGAAAGCCCGCGGCCCAACCGCGAGAAUGCAUUGGAAACUACCGGGCUUGAGUGCCGGAGAGGUAGGCGGAAUUCGUAGUGUAGCGGUGAAAUGCGUAGAUAUCAGGAGGAACACCGGUGGCGAAGGCGGCCUGCUGGACUGCGACUGACGUUGAGGCCCGAAAGCGUGGGGAGCAAACAGGAUUAGAUACCCUUGUAGUC
rnacentral:rRNA from 1 species